rnacentral:rRNA from 1 species
GCCUAAGGGCUGAACUGGUGACUUGGAAAAGUGAUAAGUUCUAGUUUGAUAAUCAAAAAAAUUAUCUAGAGAAUUGUAUUUUAUAAAGAAUAAAGCUUUGUUUGUAUAUUUAUAAUGACAAUAUAUGUAUUUAGUCUUGACCAAUUACGUGCCAGCAGUCGCGGUAAUACGUAAGAGACAAGUGUUAUUCAUCUUAAUUAGGUUUAAAGGGUACUUAGACGGUCUAAGUAAAAAAAUAAAUACUAGACUAGAGUUGUAUAAAAGAGAAUAGUACUUGAGGAGGAGGGAUUAUAUCCAUUUAUACCAAAGGGACUCGGUAAAUGCGAAGGCAACUCUCUAGGUAACAACUGACGUUAAAGGACGAAGGCACAGAGAACAAAAAGGAUUAGAUACCCAAGUAGUCUUUGCAGUAAAUGAUGAACGUCAUAGGUUAGAAAGACAUUAGUAUUUUCACUUUAAUAGUAAAAAGUGAAAAUAUUAACGCAAUUUAGUCUAUAAAUGAAAGUGUAAGCGUUUCACCUCAAGAGUAAUGUGGCAACGCAGGAACUGAAAUCAUUAGACCGUUUCUGAAACCAGUAGUGAAGUAU